rnacentral:rRNA from 1 species
UGAGGAACAUGACUUUCGGUGGGGGAGUAGCCGGGCCCCAACGGCCGGGUAAUACCGCGUACGACCACAUGGGGACAUCCCUGAGUGGUGAAGGCAGCAAUGCGCCGAUGGAGUGCCUCGCGGCCUAUCAGCUAGUUGGUGAGGUAACGGCUCACCAAGGCGACGACGGGUAGCUGGUCUGAGAGGAUGGCCAGCCACAUUGGGACUGAGACACGGCCCAGACUNUACGGGAGG